rnacentral:rRNA from 1 species
AUUGAACGCUGGCGGCAGGCCUAACACAUGCAAGUCGAACGGUAACAGGAAGCAGCUUGCUGCUUCGCUGACGAGUGGCGGACGGGUGAGUAAUGUCUGGGAAGCUGCCUGAUGGAGGGGGAUAACUACUGGAAACGUUAGCUAAUACCGCAUAAUGUCGCAAGACCAAAGAGGGGGACCUUCGGGCCUCUUGCCAUCGGAUGUGCCCAGAUGGGAUUAGCUUGUUGGUGGGGUAACGGCUCACCAAGGCGACGAUCCCUAGCUGGUCUGAGAGGAUGAACAGCCACACUGGAACUGAGACACGGUCCAGACUCCUACGGGAGGCAGCAGUGGGGAAUAUUGCACAAUGGGCGCAAGCCUGAUGCAGCCAUGCCGCGUGAAUGAAGAAGGCCUUCGGGUUGUAAAGUACUUUCAGCGGGGAGGAAGGGAGUAAAGUUAAUACCUUUGCUCAUUGACGUUACCCACAGAGGAAGCACCGGCUAACUCCGUG